UGUGUCACUGGGGGUGGGUUUUGACUGCAGAUCAGGAUGUGGCUCUCAGCUACUUCUCUAGUUCUUUGCUUGUUAUGCCUGGCACUGUGCUCUCUGCCAUGUUGAUAAUGGACCAAGCUUCUGAAAUGACGACACAAGCUUGAGGAAAGACUAAGAAGCUCUGGGCCAUUCAUUCAAGCUCUGGGCCAUUCAUUCAUGCAAUGACUCUUCCUAAAGCCUGUGAUGAGGACAGGAGACAGAAGUGGCUGGGCAGUUUUGACACCGGGUCUUCUUGUGCAGACUGAACUGCCCUUGAGCUCACAGAGAUCCGCCUGCCUUGGGAGUGCUGGGAUUAAAGGUGUGUGCUAGCAGGCCAGAAGCAGCUUUUUUUUUUUUCCUCCUGGGGGGAACAUUAGUUCUCAGUAAAGCCUCUCUUCCUUCAAAAGAGUUGAUUCAAAAGCAGAAAAAGAUGUCAGCAUGCGUAAGUUUCCAUACACUGUAAUAAACCCAUGAAAACACCAUGUUCACCCUUUCAGCAUCCUCUGGAAUAGGUAUGCAUUUAGUCUUAUCAAGAUACCGUUUAUUUGGGCUGGAGAGAUGGCUCAGCGGUUAAAAGCACCGACUGCUCUUCCAGAAGUCCUGAGUUCAA
rnacentral:sRNA from 1 species